rnacentral:rRNA from 1 species
GAUAGGUAGCAGACAAGCAUUUGACUGCUAUUAAAGUGGCUAAGGCCAUGAACAUGGAUGGACCUGCGGUGCAUUAGCUAGUUGGUGAGGUAACGGCCCACCAAGGCGACGAUGCAUAGCCGGCCUGAGAGGGCGGACGGCCACAUUGGGACUGAGACACGGCCCAAACUCCUACGGGAGGCAGCAGUAGGGAAUUUUCGUCAAUGGGGGGAACCCUGAACGAGCAAUGCCGCGUGAGUGAGGAAGGUCUUCGGAUCAUAAAGCUCUGUUGUAAGAGAAAAACGACAUUCAUAGGGAAUGAUGAGUGAGUGAUGGUAUCUUACCAGAAAGUCACGGCUAACUACGUGCCAGCAGCCGCGGUAAUACGUAGGUGGCGAGCGUUAUCCGGAAUGAUUGGGCGUAAAGGGUGCGUAGGUGGCAGAACAAGUCUGGAGUAAAAGGUAUGGGCUCAACCCGUACUGGCUCUGGAAACUGUUCAGCUAGAGAACAGAAGAGGACGGCGGAACUCCAUGUGUAGCGGUAAAAUGCGUAGAUAUAUGGAAGAACACCGGUGGCGAAGGCGGCCGUCUGGUCUGUUGCUGACACUGAAGCACGAAAGCGUGGGGAGCAAAUAGGAUUAGAUAC